CUAAAAUGAGAGUUUGAUCCUGGCUCAGGACGAACGCUGGCGGCGUGCCUAAUACAUGCAAGUCGAACGCUUUUUUCAAUCAUCGUAGCUUGCUACACCGAUUGAAAAUUGAGUGGCGAACGGGUGAGUAACACGUGGGUAACCUGCCCAAAAGAGGGGGAUAACACUUGGAAACAGGUGCUAAUACCGC
rnacentral:rRNA from 1 species